UACGUAGGGACCAAGCGUUGUUCGGAUUUACUGGGCGUAAAGAGCGUGUAGGCGGCUUUACAGGUCCGUUGUGAAAACUCGAGGCUCAACCUCGAGACGCCGGUGGAAACCGUAAAGCUAGAGUCCGGAAGAGGAGAGUGGAAUUCCUGGUGUAGCGGUGAAAUGCGCAGAUAUCAGGAAGAACACCCGUGGCGAAGGCGGCUCUCUGGGACGGUACUGACGCUGAGACGCGAAAGCGUGGGGAGCAAACAGG
rnacentral:rRNA from 1 species